rnacentral:lncRNA from 1 species
UCAGUGGCUGAUAUAGAGAGCUCCUCGAACGGGGAAGUAGCAGUUUUGGAGAAACUCGAAGAUGUCAUGUUCAGGUAUGUUCACCGGAAGAGGGGUUACUAUUUUGGCAUGUCCAGUUAGUUCAUGUAACCUUUGCAUCUUCCUCUGGCUGGCAUGUCCAGAUUGCAUACAUGGUAUUGAUGUGUUGGUAAAGUCCUUUUAGAUGAAAAUAAAGUGCCUUUUUCUUUCUAUAUAGUUAACCUAUGAAUAUUUAUAUUAACGAAUGUAAGAGUUUUCUGAAUUUUAUUUUCUCAUUUGCAGUUUUGAUGGGAAUCACUACAAAUAGUUAUGUUCAUGAAUGUAAGUGUUUUAUGAAUUUUACCUCCCAUUUACAGUUUUGAUGGGAAUCGCUACAACAACAAUUAGAAGAGACUGCAUUUCAGGUUCAGAACCAAUUUCUAGGGGUAUGUACAAGUUGUUUUUAUUCCAUCUUGGUUUUAAAUUGGUUUUAGAUUGGUGAAUUAGCAUAGCAUAAUGAAUGUUGAGCUUCAUUUCAUCUACAUUUGGUUCUGAACAUGUGUGCAUUUAAGAAACCUUGUAUUCUUCCCUAUUUUUAAGAUCCUACAAAGAGACUAAAAAAAUGGUGAUAGGCAUGUCCAGAAUGUCGAAAGCUUCAUUUUGGUCCAUUAGAUAGUUUAUAGGUUUGUCACUGGAGGUUGGCUGUCACAUAGGGUUCCUGCUUGUAAAAAUUAUAUACAGCUAUGAAUGCUCCAUAGUUCUUCAUGCAACACAGCUAAUUGCUGAAUCUGCAAUGCAUGCUUAUUUUUUUGCAGAAGCUUAGUGGAUGAAUUAGCAUUGUGUAAAGUCUGUCUAAGCUCCUGUCUCUCUUCUUUCUAUAAACUGGAUGGCCAGGAUAGAUUUCUUAAUAACAUUUUGGGAUUGUUUGAGCACUGGACAAUGUUAACAGGUUUACCAUUUCUCAUUUCUUAAUACCAUUUUGGGAUUGUUUGAGCACUAUACCAAUGUUUUGCUUUCUGCUAAAGUCAAAGAUAUUGUAUCCUUGAGCGUUUUUCAAUUAUUGCCAAUACAUGCCAAAUUCUGCAUAUUCCUUAAGGUGACACUGAUUUUGGUUUUACUUCCCAUCUGCAUCCUCUUAUAUCGUAGGCGAGAAAUUUAUUAAAAUAUUGUAUUGGUUCCAAAAUAAUAUUUUCGGUGAAAUAGGGUGAUAAUUUCAGUAUCACUCAAUAUGUAUCAUUGUCUGUAGAAAAUAUAAAGGUACAUGCACUCAUCUGUUUUAUCUGCAUGACCUAAUUGUAAUAGAUGACCAGCGAUUUAAGAUUUGAGCCAUUGUGGCUACUUUUUAUGAUUUUCAAAUGGGUUACAUGCGGAUUGUCGUUUUAUUUAUGAGCACCUUCGUCUUGCUAUCGCCACAAUGGGAAAUUGAUCACGGUGGCAAUAUGCCCUUCUAUGCUGUCUGAUUGACUCUUUUUAUUAGCAUGGAGAAUACCCUUUAGUUCACUAAGAUUAGUUUCUAUUCACAUUAUUCUUAUAUAAAAAAGAUUAUUGUGCUAAAAAAUUGCAUGACAUUUUGGCAAAACAUUGUUUAGUAAAAAGUUAUGUAGAGGUGAAUUUUAGAGGUGAAAUGUUGUGGAUGUUCUGACUGGGAUAUGCUUGGAUUAACUUUAGCGUGACACCUUAUUCAAUAUCUGUGUAUUGGGUUCUACUAAUUGUCAGCGCCUUAAUUUUCUUUCCUCCCAAUGCCAUGUGAUAUUUACUGGACUUUAAAUCACGUGCUUGCAAGUCGUUGUUGUGUCGUCUCUCUCUCUCUCUCUAACCACUCCCCCUCCCAUCAUCUUGGCUUGCAGGUCGCCGCCGUGUCUCUAGCCAGUCCAUGACAUGGCUUGAAAUCUAGCUAGGUUGUUGCCAAGUUAACUUAGGAUUGGUAACCUACAAUGUAUUAGUGUAGCAAGCACAUGGGAAGGUGGGAUUACAUUUUAUACUCUUGAAACUAUGUAGAAUUUUGCAUGUACAUUUUUCACUAAAGCAAAAUAGAGAUCCCCUAACUAACAGAUCUAUGUUGGCUAUGAUCGCACCUUUUUACAUUGUCAUAUUUGUAGAUAUACUGUAUGAUGGAGUAUCAACUAGCUGCCUUUGGUCGCACUUAGUAUAAAAGUCUCAUAUAUUGUCGUGUAUGUACGUUCUGCAUCAUACAACAACAUACCAUUAGUGUUUAUUAUACUGUCAUGCCUCUACUUCUCUGUUGUAUACAUAGUUGCUUGUAUAUCUACUUGGAUUGUUUGCUGAACAAUUUCUCUAAUGUACAUCUCUGAAAUUACUAAUAUAUGGAUUUUCAGAUCCAAGAAAGAGAUAGGACCAAGGAAAUUAGGUCUCUACCUCUAUCACUCACAUUUUAUUUUCCUAAUAUGUGGAUUUUCAAAAGAUGAUGUGUGCCGCUCCCUCUGGUUUUAGUUUCAGGAUGCUUCUCUCCAUGGGCAUCUCUAUUUAGUAUGUAGAGUUCAACUAAACCAUAAAAACGUGGAGGUUUAUUUUAUCUAUGUUUGCACCCAUGCAAAUCUUGAAUUGUUUACUUUGAUGGUUUGUCGACUGUUAGAAUAUACUCCCUCCGUUCCUAAAUAUUUGUCUUUUUAGAGAUUUCAAAUGGAUUACCACAUACGGAUGUAUAUAGACAUAUUUUAGAGUGUAGAUUCACUCAUUUUGCUUCGUAUGUAGUCACUUGUUGAAAUCUCUAGAAAGACAAAUAUUUAGGAACGGAAGGAGUAGUAUGUUGUGUUCAACAUGCUCACAAAAUUGAAUAGAAGCCCUUCUGAUGUCGAAUUCAGAGUAAAUCUAUGUACUAACUGGUAUUACAGGGUAAAACAACAUUUGUGUUCUGGAUUCAGUUUUGGUUCUUUUUGUAAAAGUAGUCAGUUAGUGAUCUUAAUGAAACAUUGCAUUUUUUUUCAUAAAAAUGGCAAAUAAAUUUAUAUCACUAUCUAUUUUACCAGGUAAAAACACCAGCAUGUUGUUUGUGGUGCAUGCACGGUUGUAGCGAAGAUGUGCAUGCAUUGCUGACCAUGGAGCAUUGCAAGGCUUCAGUAUAUGUACCGCAACUCAGAGACUGGACACAGUGCCACUUGCUACAACCACCAUGCAAGUGGUCGAUGCUUUAGUGUUGAACUAUUGAUUAGUCCCUCUUUUUUCUAUAAUCUAUGUGAUGAUGUCCCUUUCCAUGAAAACUUGUUAUGUGGAUUCAAUAGAAAUGAUGUUUUAGACAUGUUUGAUAGUUACGAAACAAAUGCCAUAGACGAUAGCUAUUACUAUUCUGGAGACGUUUCGAACUAUGAAAAAUAGCAAAUGAACAAUAGGCUAUUAUAGAGAUGUUUUACUGGACUAUUGUUUAUUUGCUAUUCAAUGGUGUCUCCACAAUUUUGAAGGUACAUAUUUUUUUAAACAAGAAUUUUUUUUU